rnacentral:lncRNA from 1 species
GCAGCGGAAGCUCUACAUCAACAACACCGGAAAGGGCACGAAGUGGAGCCAUGUGGUGUUUGAGCAUCCGGCGACAUUUGAGACAUUGGCGAUGGAUCCGAAGGAGAAACAGGCGAUAAUUAACGAUCUUUUGAAGUUCGGAAAGGGGAAGGACUACUAUAAGAAAAUCGGGAAGGCUUGGAAGAGGGGUUACCUCCUUUACGGGCCACCGGGGACAGGGAAGUCCACCAUGAUCUCCGCCAUAUCGAACUUAAUGAAUUAUGAUGUCUAUGAUCUAGAGCUGACCGCGGUUAAGGACAACACCGAGCUGAGAAAGCUGCUGAUUGACAUAUCCGGUAAGGCGAUUAUUGUGAUCGAGGACAUUGAUUGCUCGCUUGAUCUUACCGGGCAGCGAAAGAAGAAGAAAGUAGAGGAGGCCAAAGAUGGUGAUGAAAAGGAUCAAAUUCUGAAAAAGCCGGAAGAAGAAGAGAACACAACUAGCAAGGUGACUCUUUCGGGGCUGCUGAAUUUUAUCGAUGGCAUUUGGUCUGCGUGUGGAGGGGAGAGACUGAUCGUGUUUACGACUAAUUAUGUGGAUAAACUUGAUCCUGCUCUGAUUAGAAGAGGAAGGAUGGACAAGCACAUAAAACUGUCCUACUGCUGCUACGAGGCGUUCAAAGUUCUUGCUAGGAAUUAUUUGGAUUUGGAAACGCACGAGUUGUUUGGAACCAUUGAGCGCUUGUUGGGAGAGACCGACAUGACACCUGCCGAUGUUGCGGAGAAUCUGAUGCCAAAAUCUGAUGUCGAGGAUGCUGAGUCGUGUUUGAAGAACUUGAUUGAAGCGCUCGAGGCUGCCAAGGAGGCGGCGAGAGUGAAGGCGGAGGAGGAAGCAAAACAGAAGGCGGAGGAAGAAGCGAAACUGAAGGCGGAGGAAGAAGCGAAACAGAAGGCGGAGGAAGACGAAAAGGAGAAGAAAGAUGAAUCUACCAGAGAGGAAGUGAAAUGUAAUGGAACAUUAGCUGAAAAAGUUCAGGAAAAUGGUGCCACCCCAUUAAUAAUCUAAUCUAAACGAAAAGAUUAGUAAUUUGAAGUUUUUUUUUUUAUGUCUUUCAUUAAUUUCAUUACUAUUUAUUAAAGUUUCUUAGAAGUUUUAAGGCUGUAGUUAUCGUUUGCAUUCUCAAUUGAUGAAGCUUUAUCAAUUAGGAUUUAGUGUUGGUUUUUUGCACCGCCAGUGAUAACCUCUUUUGUAGUAGUGAACUAUCUAAGUGUUUUAGUGAUUCGCUACCAUUAGGAUAUUUAGAAAAGUAAUUUGAUGCAAUUUUAGUCGGAAGGUUCCCUGAAAUUGGCGCUGGCUUCUUGUGGUUAAUAAUUGUAAUUUCAUUUAGGAUUAACACCACGUCUUAAGGGUUGCAUGGUUUUUCAAAGGGUUUUUAUAAAACUUAAUGAGUCUUUCAAGUUCAUAUUUGAUUUGAACAUCCAAACGGAUUUCAUGUUAGAUAUACGUUCUAUGUUGGAGGUUCCAAAUAGAAUAUAUCUUAGGAAAACUUAACAUUAUAAAUAUGCAUGGAUAAUUCAUAAGUAAUUGGAAGAACUACGUAGGAUUGCUAAUGUGACGGAUGAACCCUAGGGCUUUAAAGUGGUUUCUAGUUGACUUAUUUAUUUAUUUUUAAUUUAAAUUCGUUUUUAUUAUAUUAAAUUCCAAAAUCAAUAUUUUCAAAACUUUGUUUUAAAUAAUUAAUUAAGAGUUUGUUUUAAACAUAAAUUAUUCAUUCAAUCCCUGUGGAAAACGACUUUGCUUGAGCUGCUACAAUAUAUGUUGGUUGAUCGAACUUUUAAUCUACAUUAUUGUUGCAGUACUUUACGGAAAAUUUUGACUACUAUAAUCCUGCUUACAACACUAGCGUGUUGAAUGAAAGAUUAUGACCUCCUCUUCAAGUUCCAAGAAGAGUCCAAGUCCAAAAUCCAUCAUCUUUCAGCCCAAAAGUCACAAAUAAGCUCUACAACCCCAUCUACCAGCACUGAGCAUAAAUUAAUUCUUCACGAUUAGAUGCUUAGGGAUAAAAUUAUGAAAUUUUGACACAACCUUCUUGGCAGAUUCAUGAACUGGCUCCAAUUGAAAUCACUCAAAAAUUCCACCGUUUGAUUAUUUUAUGCUCAAAACAAGUUCGCAUGUAGGGGUGGGUUCGGUUUAAAUCGGUUCGGUUUUUUGCUAAAACCGAAACCAAACCGAAAUUUCGGUUCGGUUCAUUUUUUUUUCUGUUUUUUUCUGUUCGGUUUUUUUUCGGUUCGGUUUUUUCCGGUUCGGUUUUUUGUUUUUUUUUUUCAAAAAUGAAAAACAUUGAAAUUUUAAAUUUUAACAUAUCCAACACAAUCAUAACAUAAGCAUUCUAACUAGAAUCAAAGACAAUGAAAAUAAACAUUUAAAAUUGAACUAAAAUCAUCAAUCAAGUCUUCCAAAGUCCAAACUAACAACCUCACAACACAAAAAUCGUACAAAUGACUUAGAAAAGUUAAAUUGUAUGAUGUUGUUCAAAGAUCAAGGUUGUUUGCUUGUAAUUGCAUGUUGACAACUUGAUUAGUAAAAAAUAAUGCGUGGGUGGAUUUUAUUUAGUGUGUGUUAGAGAUUCUUUUCCAUCACAAAUUACCCAAGUAAUGUACCCGAAAUAAAUGUUUAUGGAUUCUGUUACAUGUUAUAUGAGAGUAGAUUUGGAAAAGAAAGCUAGGGCAGAAGUAGGCAGUGCUAUGGAGAUGGAUGUAGGUACUUCUGAAGGAGGUUUGGUUCCGUAACCUUAUAUGGGAGAUAAAUAAUAGGUUAGGGUUUAGAGUUUUUAUAGGCCUUUUUAAAAUAUUUUGAGCUUAAAGUUUGGCAACACAUUGGGUUUAGCACAUUUUAACUAACAAAUUGGGUUUAGAAAAUAAUACCCAAAACAAAUAAUUAAAUAAAAAAAUUAAUUUAAUUAAUUCGGUUCGGUUCGGUUUUUUCAAUUCGGUUUGGUUUUUUCGUUCGGUUUGGUUUUUUCGGUUUCGGUUCGGUUUGGUUUUCGGUUUUUGGUUUUUUGAACCCACCCCUAUUCGCAUGUCCUACAUUAAAAACACAUAGCAAAACAUCAAAAUCUCACCAAAAUAAUAACUAAAAUAUACCAAGAAUAGGAAAUAAUAUAUACUAUAAAAUCGACUCAUGGUGAAGGACAACACUGAGCUGAGGAAGCUACUGAUUGACACGUCGAGUAAGUCUAUAAUUGUGAUUGAGGACAUUGAUUGCUCGCUUGAUCUUACCGGACAGCGAAAGAAGAAGAAGGACAAGGAUGAAGGGGGCAUGGAAGAAAAGGAUCCAGUUCGAAAUAAGAUGGAAGAUGAAGAAAACACACAGAGCAAGGUGACUCUUUCAGGGCUGCUAAACUUUAUCGAUAGGAUUUGGUCAGCUUGUGGAGGGGAGAGACUGGUCGUGUUUACGACUAAUUAUGUGGACAAACUUGAUCCUGCGGUCAUUAGAAGAGGAAGGAUGGACAAGCACAUAGAGUUGUCCUACUGCUGCUUCAAAGCAUUCAAAGUGCUUGCUAGGAAUUAUUUGGAUUUGGAUUCACAUGAGUUGUUUGAAACGAUUGCGCGUUUGUUGGGCAAAACCAAUAUGACUCCUGCUGAUGUUGCUGAGAACUAGAUGCCUAAGUCUGUUAUACAGGAUGCUGAGUCUUGUUUGAAGAACUUGAUCGAAGCUCUUGAGGAGGCAAGAGUGAAGGCCGAGGAAGAAGCGAAAUUAAAGGCAGAAGAAGCAGAAAAUGAUAUGAAAUAUAUAUAUAUAUUUUAAAUUGAGUGUUGAAGUGUGAUGUGGAGAACGGAGAAUAAUUUAUAUCGUGUUGGUCACGCCAACGUAUACUAAUUGGUGACCGAUUCUAAUAGAAAACGUCAGAAGCCGGUGUACUCAUCCUAUUUGAUUUGUGUGAACAAGUGAAGGUGAAUCGGCAAAGAAAAGAAAGUAGUGAAGGUGAUUGAUGUGACAAUGCAAUUUUUAUGUGUAAAGAAGGUAGAAUUUGUAUUAGGUGUGCAAAUUUUUUAAUUAUUACACUCACAAAUUUUUUGAUAUUCUAUGUUUACUAUUAAUUAGCAUGUAAAAUUUUAAUAAUUAUAUUGAUCCAUUUUGAUUGAUGUAAAUUAAUAAACCGUUUAUAUAAAAUUAUAUUAUUUUUAAAAAGGCGUGUUUAAUUAAGAUUUUAAGGGAUGAAUUAAAAUUUAUGAAUUUUAAGGUAAGAUGGAAAAGAUGGUUAACCAAUUUAAUUUUUGACACCUUGUUCUAAAAGGUCAUGGAAUAGGGAAAUGGAUCAUUUCCGGAUCAUUUACUCCUAAUCCACCAAAUCAGUAGAUCUGUGACAUUGAAAUUUGAUCUAACGGUUACAAACAGGGACCCACUUUAAAAGUUAUAAUAAUUUCAGCUUUUGAAUUAAAUUUUCAUGGCACGGAUCCACUGAUUUUGUGGAUUAGGAUGAAGGAAUCCGGAGAGGAUCCCUUUCCAUCAAAUAGCUUUGUAAGUAAGUUAGGAAUGCCAUUACUAAUUUGUAGGGCGAGUGAGAUUCCUCAUGUUAGGUGGGAAUUAAAAGGAACAAUGAAUGAAAUUGUUCUCUGUGGAAGUGUUUGUUUGGAAUAUUUUUAAAAUGAUUGAAAAUAAUUUUUUGUAAAAAUAUUUUUGGAAUUAAUUUUUGAUAAAAACGUAAGUAAAUUCUUUUCUCAGAAUGCACUUCAAGUACUUUAGGAAUCAAAAGAACAUUUUGUCUAACAACAUUUUUAAUCAUUUUAAAAGCAUUUCCAAACAAGUGCUUGUUUGAAAUAUUUUUAAAAUGACUGAAAAUAAUUUGUUUUAAAAUUAUUUUUGAAAUUAAUUCUUGGUAAAAACGCAAGUAAAUCAUUAUCUCAGAAAGCACUUCAAGUGCUUUGAGAAUCCAAAAACAUUUCAUCUGUUGAUGCACAAAAUCAGCGAAGACUUUGGUACAACAGAAAGUGUCAGGUUUUGUGACAUUCGCUUGGUUGCUUCGGUCACUAGUGAGGAUAAGUACGUAAAUGAAUAGAGACAGAGAAGCAAACACAGGAUGUACGUGGUUCACCCAGAUUGGCUACGUCCACGGAGUAGAGGAGUUCUUAUUAGUAGUGAAGGGCUUACACAAGUACAAAGGAUCAAGCUCUCAAUUUAGUGAGUUCUUGUGAAUGAUUUAACACAAAUGUCAUUAGGCAAUAUUGUGGGGGAAUGACCCCUAUUUAUAGAAAAACUUGUAGCUUUGUCACAUUGACAUGUGUCAUGUUAUGAUUGGUUCUUGAUGUCGACACGUGCUGCGCUCUGAUUGGCUUCUAAUCUUGACACGUGUCGAGUAGUGAUUGGCCUCCUGGUCGGAGGGGAACUCUUCUGGGUCCUUGACAGUAUAGCGUUGGCCGGUGCUCGGUAGUUUCGGGAUUGGUCAAGUAUGGUACAAACAUCAUCUAACAACGUUUUUUCAAUAAUUUUAAAAGUACCUCUAAACAAGUCAUGAUCAAAUGCUCCAUGCUCAAAGACCAAAAACAAUUCCUUGAAAAUUGAGUAGUAAAUGUUAUCGUAUACAAAAGUAUUCCAGUAGCCAAACUAAUUUUACUUCAAUUCAUGACCGUAAGUAAAUAAUUUAACGAGAAAACCGCUUUCUGUUUCAUAUUCAUAUCGAUUACCUCGUGACCUAAGUUAAAUCGAUCCCCCGUGUUAAAAAUAAUAUAUUUUUUAAUGUUUUACUAUAUAUUUUAUAUAAUACGUGAAGUAUUCGUUUAAAUACUAAUAUUUAAAAAAAAUAUCUUAUAAUCUUGGUCAUUUCAAUUCCAUGUAUGCGAACAUGCACAAUAUUCGGUCAAACUUGGUAGAUGGACAAAGCGAAAUUCAUAGAAAUCAAAGGUGGCCAAAUGGAAGCUGCCAGGAAGUUGAGUUGAUCAGAGCAUCUAGUUAGUUGGUCACACUACUCUGGAGGCAGUCCUGUGUCUAUAUAACUUCGCCUCCAUUUUCAAACCUCUAUCAGAGAGAAUUACAGCGUAAUUGUUGAAUUUCUUCUUGAGAAUACUGUUACUGUCGGACUGUCACGUGAUUUCUCCGUUCCCCGAUGGCAAAGAUGGGGGAAAUGUGGGGGCAGCUCGGCUCGGUGAUGGCGAGCAUGAUGUUUGCUUAUGCCAUGUUCAAGCAAUUCUUCCCAGACAAUCUCGGUGAUAUCCUUGAAAAAUACGGUCAGAAAUUAGUAGCCUAUGUCUACCCCUACAUCCAAAUCACCUUCGACGAAUACGACAGCGACUUUCACCGGCGGAGCGAGGUCUACUCCGCCAUCCAGAGCUACCUCAGCGCGAAAUCCUCGACGAGAGCGAAGCGCCUCAAGGCUCAUGAGGUUAAAGGAAGCAAGGCUUUGGUUCUAGGCAUGGACGACAACGAGGAGGUCACCGACGAGUUCGAGGGCAUCAAGCUCUGGUGGGCGUCCAAAAAGAGCGCGUCGAAAAAGACAUCCUUUUCGUUCUUUCCCGAGUACGAUGACAGGAAGAUGUACAAGCUGACGUUCCACCGCCGGCAUAGGGACGUUGUCAUGGGGUCGUAUCUUGACCAUGUGAGGCAGGAGGGGAAGGCGAUUGCGGUUAAGAACAGGCAGCGGAAGCUCUACAUUAACAACACCGGAAAGGGUACGAAGUGGAGCCAUGUGGUGUUUGAGCAUCCGGCGACGUUUGAGACAUUGGCGAUGGAUCCGAAGGAGAAACAGUCGAUAAUUAACGAUCUUUUGAAGUUCGGAAAAGGGAAGGACUACUAUAAGAAAAUCGGGAAGGCUUGGAAGAGGGGUUACCUCCUUUACGGGCCACCGGGGACAGGGAAGUCCACCAUGAUCUCCGCCAUAUCGAACUUAAUGAAUUAUGAUGUCUAUGAUCUAGAGCUGACCGCGGUUAAGGACAACACCGAGCUGAGAAAGCUGCUGAUUGACAUAUCCGGUAAGGCGAUUAUUGUGAUCGAGGACAUUGAUUGCUCCCUUGAUCUUACCGGGCAGCGAAAGAAUAAGAAAGUAGAGGAGGCCAAAGAUGGUGAUGAAAAGGAUCAAAUUCUGAAAAAGAAGGAAGAAGAAGAGAACACAACUAGCAAGGUGACUCUUUCGGGGCUGCUGAAUUUUAUCGAUGGCAUUUGGUCUGCGUGUGGAGGGGAGAGACUGAUCGUGUUCACGACUAAUUAUGUGGAUAAACUUGAUCCUGCUCUGAUUAGAAGAGGAAGGAUGGACAAGCACAUAAAACUGUCCUACUGCUGCUACGAGGCGUUCAAAGUUCUUGCUAGGAAUUAUUUGGAUUUGGAAACGCACGAGUUGUUUGGAACCAUUGAGCGCUUGUUGGGAGAGACCGACAUGACACCUGCCGAUGUUGCGGAGAAUCUGAUGCCAAAAUCUGAUGUCGAGGAUGCUGAGUCGUGUUUGAAGAACUUGAUUGAAGCGCUCGAGGCUGCCAAGGAGGCGGCGAGAGUGAAGGCGGAGGAGGAAGCAAAACAGAAGGCGGAGGAAGAAGCGAAACUGAAGGCGGAGGAAGAAGGGAAAUUGAAGGCGGAGAAAGAAGAAAAGGAGAAGAAAGAUGAAUCUACCAAAGAGGAAGUGAAAUGUAAUGGAACAUUAGCUGAAAAAGUUAAGGAAAAUGGUGUCACCCCAUUAAUAAUCUAAUCUAAACGAAAAGAUUAGUAAUUUGAAGUUUUUUUUUUAUGUCUUCCAUUAAUUUCAUUACUAUUUAUUAAAGUUUCUUAGAAGUUUUAAGGCUGUACUUAUCAUGUACAUUCUCAAUUGAUGAAGCUUUAUCAAUUAGAGUAAACGAAUCGCUAUGAUUAAGACAACAAAAUCCGACAAUUAUUCAAAGAACACGCGUAUUUGCAUGGUUCGGCCAAAUUAAUUGGAGGCUCGGAUGUCAAGAGCUUGACAUUCUUCAUCCCCUUGUGAAGGUGAAAGAAUGAAAAGUAUGGAGUGACUUGCUCUCUUAUUAGUCACUUAACUAAUUUUUUGUUUUCUGUGCACCUUGGACCAACCUGUCAAACAGAGUCAACAGUAGAAGAGCAGCUCCCAUCUGAAAUUUCUUUCUUUCUGUGCACUUUGGACCAACCUGUCAAAAUGCAACCUUGUCAAACGGAAUCAGCAGUAGAAGAGCAGCACCCAUCUGAAAUUUCUUAAAACUAGUCUUUAAAAUUAGAGAAAAGGAGAUUCAAACUCGGGAUUAAAAAACACACAUCUGCUCUAAGUACUUAUUCACCAGCCAAAGGAAUGAACCAAUGCCCCUUAUUUUUUUCCACCAUUCAUUAGUCAUGACAAAAAAAACCUAAACCUUCAAGAGGUUUGGAAAAAAAUAAUGCAUCCACUCUAAGUAGUCACUAUUUUGUAUCACCGUUCGACUUUAUAGAGCAACGGAAUAGACGACGGGCGGUGACCGUUUGCGUAUUCACCGGCCAACGGAUGAACCAAAACCCAGGGACAUAGAGAGCCACAGGACUGGCUGUGCUACAGCCCGUUCGACAUUUUUAUCUUCUUCUAAUAUCAAUUAUUGGGUGGAAAAAACAAAGGAUAUAUGUUCUACUGUACGCACUGAUCCCACUUGUUGGGUUAUGUUGUCUUCAGUGUCUCUUGCUUUUGUUAAUUUAUAUGUCUUUUGUUGUCCUUCGUUGUUUAGGUUAUUUUUAUUUUCUUCUUGAAACGUAUGUGGUUAAUUACUCUUGUCACUUGAUUAACAAGUUUUGGUAAAUUAACCUUUGACUAUUGGGAUUAAGGUCCGGUAAUAUGUUAUUUAGUAAUACGGUCUAGACUGUCUAGUAGUAUUCUUCUUUACAAGUUGAAGGUCUUAAAGCUAGAAUAUUUUAAACGACAAAUUUAUUACUAAUUUAUUAUGACUGGACCAUUGUAUGAACUAGGGCUAGUUUGAGCUUUGGUAAAUGUUGACCCUAGAAACUACCAAGCCUAUGUGGCGCGCAGGCCGAGUAAUCUAUAAGCUAACUACGUCCUUCGGUGAAUGCGGGGCGUGCCAACUCGUCGGCCGAGCUCGGCCGAGGAGUAAAUUUUGUUGAUGUUGCGUUGGGCGCGCGGCUGACUUCUGCGUCUUGCGAUUGCGGCCGAGAAAGGAACACGUCUCGGCCUCUUGGGCUCUCGAACCUGAAGACAAGGUUACUAUUCUUACGAAGUUCACGAGUCGUCGUCGUCGGAUUCAGUCACAGUGAUGUUAUUCGUCAGAGUAAACUCACGCCGAAUCGACACCAGAGUGUAAGGGCACAAAUACUCAAAGCAAAUAUAAGUUUUAAUGGUGAACGUGGUUCGGCCGUCCGAAUGCCGAACUCUAAAUCCCACUUGAGAAUAUCCAAUCAUAAAAUAACUCGGCAAGCAAAGUGCCGAGCUCGAUAUAUCGUAACACCUCACUUCGCCGAGAAGGCUAAUGAGAUGACCUCAAUCAAUAAGGAUCCGAAAAUCCUCCUUGACCGAGACUUGGAUAGGUAAUCAACCGUUCUCGCCGCAGUGUUGUUGAUGCCAACGGAAGAUACUGCGAGAUCGACUGAUUCUACGGUGACAGAGCUAUCUAUGCCGACUUAAGAUAUCGCCGGUUGCUUUCACAGUGCUGUUGAUGCCAACGGAAGAUGUGUCAGCGAAAAAGAAAGAAAAAUCUCAAGUUGUUGAGUUUGCGCAGGGCAGUUUUGUAUUGAUUUGCAGGGGGCUUUGAAUGAUGCGCAACCUCUUCUAUUUAUAGCAACGGCUCCCCCCAAGGUCGAGUUAAAAACCUACUCGGACUAAGUCUUCUUCUCCUGAUCAGCACCAACUCGACCAGUCCUACUUUCACUAGGAUUGUGAACCUAGUCCUUAACCGAGCCGGAUUCGCUUCCGGGUCCUGCCGAGACUUCUCAUUGCAUUAGGACUCGACUUCUUGCGUUAUGACCUAGCCGACCUAGGUUUGGAGGCCCACAUACUAAACGAUCCAUGGUAUUCUUGUCGCAAGGCCUUCUGGGCCGAGAAUGAUUCUAUACUCGGCCCAAACUAUUAUUUUGGGCCCAAACAUUGCCCUCUCGCUUCUGAGGUCCUCGGCCUGAAUUUGUUGGCCGAGGUUUGGCCUUCAAGAAGCGAAUGUAAUCCUCAGAACCCUAGUGUUCUAUUUCUAAGGCGCAUUUAUUGAGCACGAUUGCACGAUCUUGAUCCUGCUAACCAACUCGCCACGUGGCGUCUUCUAACACGACCAAUCCCCAAUAAUGAUGUCUAAGGCAUGCGGCUACCUGAACCGUCGUGCCAUCAUGACCUUAUGGUUGAACCUAGCCACUCUACCUCAAUCCGUGAGCCGCUUGUCAUCGUGUAGACGUCGAAACGUCUUUCGCCAUUAAUCUCGCCAUCACACGCAAUCGUGCGCCCCCAAAACCUAAGACCCUCGGUCUUCUCAACUGCAUUUCCUAAAUGUUCAUCAUGAUUAGCGAUUCCUUCGGUCGAUUUUGCCCUUUGUUUUGAAAUUCGAACGAUUGCCCUUCCUUCCAAAAUCCUAUAAAUACUGAGAAUCCCUCAUUCAUACUUUACGCUUUCAAAAUCUCUCUGAAAUUUCUUGCCCUUGUUCUCCAGCGCAGUUCUUUUUCCAAGUCUUCGUCUCCAAAUCCCCCAACCCAGAAAAACCCCUUUUUCACCGUACCUUUUAAACCUCCUACAAUGGCCUCCUUCAUCUCUAAGCUUUCCAAGGAAUGUGAUCAGUGUCAGAAGAUUCUUGAUCGAAGCUCAAUCAAAACCAUACGGUUUGAAAGUGACAUGAGCACUUCUCACCAAAUCUUGGGUCCUCUUUUCAAAGCGGCAGUACCGUCAGCCAUUACUGGACUUCUCCAGGAGCAUUGCCUAUCACCCUUGCUCCAAGGGUUUGAAUGGUCGAGAUGGGAUGCGGCGAAACCUCAAGGCUCCUGGCCUUCGACCACCACAACCUGGGCAGCCUGGGUUGUUCGAAUGGAAAAGCUCUUCGGCGAGCAAUGGAAGGCCAUCGGCAUCUACGACGCCAUCCUCCUCUCAUCUAUGGAUGUCGUUUUCGACAAGGAGCUUCUCCUAGCCGCCCUGUGCUUCUGGUGUUCGGCCACCAACACCAUGGUUCUCCCCCUUGGUCCUAUCGGCCCCACCAUUCUUGAUGUCACCACCAUCUUGGGCACCUCGGCAACUGGAAUCCCCAUCGAUGCGGCCCUCUCCGGGUACUCGUCGAAUCUUGACCUGAAGACGCUUUUUGAUCGACGGGCUUUUGAGACAUUGAGCCGUGAGGGUCAAAUCCCGUCGAAAGAAGACGUUCAGAAACUCCACAAGAACUUCUUCAAUUACAACACCCUCUAUCUCCAUUUCUCCGGCCGAGGAGAAGAGGCCCUGCGAGAAGGGGAACAUGAAGCUUUCCUCUUCUAUUGGUACAACAAGUACAUUUGUUGUACCAAGUCGAACAAAUGCUUGGUCGAGAACAUGCCGGUAGUCGAGGCCCUGGCUAGUGGUCACGUCCUGUCACUUAGCUACAACAUUCUUACCCAUCUCCUCCGCUGCCUGGCCGAGACGACCCUUCACAAGAUCGACCCACACCAGAAUGGUCCCCUCUGGGUCUUCCAACUCUGGCUGCAAGUUUACUUCGCCUCCCUUCGACCGGCCAUCGCUGAUUUCUCACCAAUGGAAGCGCUCGGACCUCAGCUGGCCUCCCGACCGAUACCCCCUCACCAAGCCGAAGAUGUAUUUAAGUACUUUUUCACCCUUAAUGACCUUUUCAACGACGAAUUCCUGAUAUGUCGUCGUCGAGACUAUCAUUCCUCCAUCAGGCUACCCAUAUCCAUGUGGGGCGCGGACGAAGAUGCCGACCUUCGUUAGUCAUGGGGGUCGUUCGUGCUCACUCGCGACCUUCAUCUCGGCUGUGAUGGGAAACGAGCGGGUUGGGAAGUGUACCAUCCUAACUUCCUUGCUCGACAGCUCGGCUACCUCCAAGGCUGCCCGGUCCCCAUUCUUUCCUCCCGCACCGUCUUAAGCCGUGGGCGCGAACUGGGCUCAUCGGAAAAGGAAUGCACCAUCGCCAAGAGGGAGUUCCAAGAGCAAUGCCAAAGUUUCCACCUUCGACCGGCCACCCCUGAAACCCUCUGCACUGACACCUUCGGCGAUUGGUGGGAACAGUAUACCCAUGAGUUCUUUGGGGCUCUGGUCGAAGGUGUGUUGAACAAACUCUUUGGUGACCGGCCUAAGAAGGCCUCGGCCCCCCAAGCUCAAGGUAAUUUUUUGUUUUUUUGUUUUGUUUUUUUUUUUGUUAAUUUGCCUUGCUGAUUUGCUUUUACUUUCUCAGGUAGUCGGUCGUUGAGAAAGGUGGAGGUGGUCGCUGCAACUGCGGCCGAGAAGAAAUCGGUCAUUGCUAAGAGGGCCAAAACUGCUGUGCUGCGCAAACGGCCUCGUCAAGAGGCCGAGCCGGUCAUCGAACCUCCACCGCCUGCCAAGCGGGUUAAAAAGCUGGCAAAGAAAGGAGCAUGGGAGAUCCACGUUAUCUCCAGUCAUACUACGGAGAUGACUCCCGGUGUUUCUUCUUCUCCCACCGUCGGCCAAACCUUGGUCGAGAAACAGCCAACUCCGAUCGCAGAAACAGUCCAAGCCCGGCCUGUUUCUGAGGUCGGGGCACCCGUUGUAGCUCCAUCGGUCGAGACUGCGCCUGUCCUAGAAAAGGCAGUCCCUGCGACCGAGGGGACUUCCCUCGUACAUCCAAAACCUUCGAUUUUCAUCCUGGAAGAGAGCGAGGGGAGCGAUGAAAUUCCAUUGGCGAGUCGCCCUCAUCCCCACCGUCGACCUCUACCUGCGUCCAAGGCGGCCGUUCCAGUCGGUCAUUCCACGGUCGACCGUGGCAAACGACCGGUCGGAGAGCCAACAAUGGUGGCGGAAACGCGUGCUCCUCCGCAGGACCAGGACCUCAAUCCUGCAUUCGAAGUGGCUGUCUCGAUCGGCCCUUCCAUGGCCGCCUGUGGCAAGCGACCUGCCGAGGAGCCAGAGGCGACGGCGGAAACGCCCGUUCAUCCUCAGGACCAGGACCUCAAUAUUCCUUCCCAGGAAGCCACUUCGGCCUUCGUAAGUACCUUCCACCGUAUCUCCUUGAUAACUUUUCUGCUUUAGAAUUCUAAACGAGGAAAAUACUAAAUGUCAGGUGCCUAUACACUAUUUUCAUCGAAAAUUCUAUGCGCCGAAGGGUGUUAUCUAUAUUUCUUGGCCGCCUCAGUGGCCAUCGAACGUAGAUUACCUCCAUCGGCCGCGUGAACUGAGAAGCAGUCUAAGACACUGGGCUCGGCCAUUGAGUUCUUUAGGUUCGAGCAACGAUCCUGGAGACAUGGCCGAGGUCUCCUCUCGGCAGGUUAAAAAAAAUGAAACCUUCUUGCUAUCCUUUUCAUGACUUCUUUUGAGCUUAACCUGAUUUGUGUGUGCAGGCUUCGUGGGAGGUCGAAUUCAAAGCCCUCAUCUCCAGCACAACUGUAGGGUCUGGUUCUUCGGCCGCCGCGACUGAAGCUGCCGAUUCAACUACUCUAACUCAGUUGCGAGAAGUCUUGUCGCUUUCGGCGUCGCAAGUACUCGAGCGCAACGGUCUUGAUUUGCUCGGCACAUGUCUGAACGACCUCGGAGCUGACGGUCGUUUGAGCGGAGAUGCUAUCGUUCGAGCAUCGUCUACCUUGGAGCGGGUUCGAGAGACAUUUAGUAUCUUCCAAACCGCUCUAAAGGAUGAACAAGACUUGCAAGCUGCCACGGCCGUCCAAGACACUCUCCGUCCAAAAAUUGACGCUUUAAAGGUAAAAGGAGAAGCAUUGGCUGAGCUUGACCGUCAAAUGGCCGAACUAGCGAAACGUAGGUCGGCCAUUGCCUCCAAGCUUGCUAAGGACUUCGAGUCGGGCGGAAAAGAUUGCCUAACCGAGUAUGCGGCGAACACAAAACGGGUCGAGCGGUUGAAGCUGGAUAAGAGGAACCGGCAAGUCGAGGUUAUCAUGGGUGAGGUGCGAUGGUUGGAGUUGAAGGCCCUGCUCGGCACUCUUCUACCCUCUUCACCUUGAAUGUACUUGAAUGUAAACCGAUCGACUUACUCAUUUUGUACAUGCUUAUCAAUCUUAAUGAAUUGGUUUUCUAUUCCUGCAUUUCCCAUAUGACCGGAUAGUAUUUCUUUAAAAACUUCCCAUUGAUUGGUAAUCUAUGCACUACACCGGUUUGGUCUUUGAGAUGAUACGCACCUUUUCCGUAUACUUUAUGCACAACGAACGGCCCCUCCCAAUUUGGCGACCACUUGCCGAACCUAGGGUCUUUUAGUCCUACGGGUAACACCGUUUGCCAAACCAAUUCACCCUCGCCGAAUGUUUUCUGACGCACCUUUUGAUUAUAGGCUCGCUCGGCAAUACGUUUUUGUGCCACCAGUAAGUUAUAAGCGUCAAGUCGUGCUUGAUCGGAUCAUAUUUAUAUAUAUUUUUACUUCAAAUUUACCCGUCUUUUCUUAGUUAGUUCCUUAUAUUUUUUAGUUAUUUACGUUAUUUUUGUGUUUAUAGGAUUUGUUAUGCAAAGAAAAUAAAAAUAGAACAAGUUAAAUUUUAUGUAAUAAAUUCGUCAAAAGCAAAUUUAAAUUACAAUAUUGCUAAUCCAUUGUGACGCUAAAUGAUAAACCAAUAUUUAAACUUUAUAUUUCAUCCUUUUAUAUGUCUUCUCUUGUCUAAUUUAGUUGGAAGCUUUAAGUAUUUAUGAUACUUUUGAUAUUUUGUGUUUGUAGGAGUAACAUGAUUAAAAGAACUUAUUUUUCUGCUACGUGAGGCUGCUAGAAACUAAAUGAAAAUAAAGGUGCGUGGCUUUGCCAGAAAAGUGGGGAUUCCACUUAAUUUGCAGAAAAUAGCAAAGAAAUUAGAGAAGAAAGUGGAGAGCACGGGGGACAUCAAUGAUGGGGUUUCCACUGGUGGCCUUGGGGGCUUUGAAAAGAAAUCAUUGCCUUUUGUUUAAGGCAACAGACGGAACAGCUGGUUUACAUCGUGGGAGGGUGAAGAAAGGAAUAAAAAAAAGAACCAAAAGCUGCCUUUGCAGCUGGAGAGAACACGAGAGGGCAGCGAGGUCAGAGAGAAGCAGCAAAGCUUCAGUGCCAGCGCGGGGAGACUGUCAGAAGCAGGAGAUAUAAGGGGGCGGUCUUGGGGGAGAAACGAGAAGAAAAAGGGGGAGCUGCCUUUGGGCAGCUCGCAGAGACGCAAGGGACAGGGUGAGCACAGGGAGCUGCCCUUUUGGGCAGCGUGAGAGUGGAGAGAGCAAAGGAGAGAGGGCUGCCUUGGCAGCGUGUGAAGAAAAGCACACGGAACAGGAAUUGGAGAGCAGAAAGCUGCCUUUGGGCAGCGUGAGGGACAGAAAAUAGAAAGAAAAUAGAGGGAGGUCAGAGAGGUUAGACGAGAGAGCAGUGGGAGACGCGGGGGGAUAGAGGUGACUGACGAGAGAGGGAGCUGCCUUUGGCAGCACGGGGUCAGCGAGAAGAAGUCAUAGGGGAGUUUUGAGAACCAGCGUGGGAAAGGACAGCAGGCACGGGAUUGGAAGGCAGGGCAGAGGAAUAGAUACGGGACAGCCAAGAGAGGGUCAGAGAAGAAAAAGCUGCCCUUGCAGCCUUGAAAAACAGAAAGCUUGCGCGGACGGGAGGAGAGAGUAGCGCGGAUGGGAGGAGGACAGAGACAACGUCAGGUGGACAGAAGCUGCAAGCCUUCUCUCUCUCGGUUAAAUCUUUCUAAAACUUCUAUUUUAUUUCUAUUUUUAAUAAUGUGUAAAUAAAUUGAUUUUGGCUAGAGGUUAAUUCAAAGCCAUGAUUAUAUCUGUAAUAUGAAUUGAUUACCUUCGGUUGUGAUUUCAUAAGUUGUGAUUUCAAUUUACUUAUCCGUUCGUAUAAAAACUGAUUUGUGUAUGUUGGUUGAGAGUGCACGCUUAAUUUACAUGCAUGAAUUUGAUGCUAGAAUAUAAGUGAAUUUCACCUAAUCGUUAUGAACUUAUUUUCACAAGUAGUAAAGGUUGCUAGUCACAAUCACGUUAAGUAAAUUCUUGGCAAGAGUAUCAUGCUUUUCAUAGUUACGAAUGCCUCGUCAAUGCUUAUAGUUUUCACAAAGUUUAAUGAUCUUUGAUUGUAUCGCUAUUGUGCUUUUCACGUAGGGGACUUUUGAAGAAUGUUUUGAAUUGUUGUAUGUGUUUUUCCGUCCAAUUCAAUAACUUAAGGAAAACUUGAAGAUUAAAAAAGUGCUGUUCACGGUUAAUCUGGAGUAUUGAGAUUCACAAUUUAUUGAAGGAACAACUGAAAAUCAAUUUAGGUUGCAUAUGUGUCAUGUGUGGAGAAGAACCCUCUAGCUAGUCCGUCAUUUAUCAUUUCACCUUAAUUUCAUGUUUUUGUCAAUUCUGUAAUUUAAUUAAGUUUAAUUUAUUUUUCAUCAAAACCAAACACCCAUCCAUUAUUAAAUUAUAUUAUUUAGUUAGUUUUCAUUAUUGUUAGUCUUUCAAUUCGAUUUCCGUCCAUUUCAGUCCUAGUGUUUAAUUUGAUUAUUUUCAUUAUUUUGAGUCAUCCUAAGUGUGUUUCGAGUUAUUAGAGUUUUUAGCCUAGUUUUGUGUCCUUGAGUCUUGUUUAAUAUUUUUAAAUUAAUUUAGAAUAGAUUAGCAAUCCCUCCUAAUCCCCGGCCUAGAACGAUACCCUACUUACAUCUAUACUACAAUUGUCAAAAAGAGGGUUUAAUUUGUGUGUCAAGAAAUUCACGCACCAGUGCUUCUUCCAAAUCUUCUAAUUCCUGUCUCAUGGACUGAUUGUAUUCGGCGCUAAACAAACUACUUUGUUCAAUUAAUCGCAACGAAUUUAUGCUUAACUCGACUGGUAACAUUGCAUCGUGUCCGUAGGUUAAUGCAUACGGGGUUGUCGCAGUCGCCGAUCGGGGCGAUGUUCGAUAUGCCCAUAAUGCCUCGUUCAACUUCAAAUGCCACAUGCCGAGUCUUUCUUUUAUUAUUUUUUCGAGGAUGCCGAUCAACACUUUAUUACUUGCCUCGGCCUGCCCAUUCGCUUGUGGAUAAUACGGUGUAGAUUGUUCGAGCUGAAUUUUUAAAUUUGCCAUAUACUCUUUAAACCUUUCGGCUGUGAAGAUUGUUCCAUUGUCAGUUAUGAUCGUUUCUGGUACGCCAAAUCUGGUCACAAUGUGUUCCUCCACAAAAUCGCAAACUUCUUUAAACGUUAGCUCGGCAUAUGAUUUUGCUUCGACCCACUUAGUAAAGUAAUCGGUUGCGACUAUUAUCCAUGCAUGCUUGGCAGCUCCGGAGGAUGGCGUGAUUUUGCUGAUUACGUCCAUGGCCCAUCCUCUAAACGACUAUGGUUUGAUGACCAAAUGCAAUGAUUCGGCCGGGACCCUUUGUAUAGGUCCGUGGAUUUGGCACUGUACGCAUCCUCGUGUAAACUCGAUACAAUCCUUUAGUAUUCUUUGCCAAAAGUAACCGUGUCGUCGAAGUAGCCAUCACAUUUUUCGUCCGGAUUGAUGAGCUCCGCAAACCCCUUCAUGGACUUCUGUGAUCGCCCGAGCACCCUUUUGGGGGCUGAGGCAUAGCAGUAGCAAUCCAUCCUCCCCUUUUCGGUAUAACUCGUUUUGGUACGUGACAUAGUUCGUGGCGUGGACUCGUGUCUUGCGACUAUGUUUUCCAUCGGGAUUGUCAAGGUAUUGCAUAAUGGGUUUUCUCCAAUCAUUUGGUGUUGCCUCGACGGUACAAACCUCUAUAGUAUCUUGUCGGUCUAGCAAUGAAGGUAAAGACAUGACCCGAGUGCGUAUUACAUCGUUGCGCCGGAGGAUUUGCUGGUUGACCAAGGCUGGGUAUAGUUGUCGUAACACCGGUAUUUCCCGGCCUAGCUUACCCCCCAGGAGUUGUGCACCAGAGGCAAUUUGAGCCAACUCGUCCGCGUCGGUAUUAUGGAUCCGGGAAAUAUGUUCGAACGUAAUACCGUCGAAGGACUCGGCCAAAUAGCUGGCAACCAUGUGGUAGGGUGCCAGGGUACAACUCAUGCAGCGGAAAGACCCAUUAAGUUGGUUAAUCACAAGCUCAGAGUCGCCGAGGACGAGGGCACGGGUGGCCCGCAAGUCAUGAAGGAGGCCAAGGCCGAUGAUUAGGCCUUCAUAUUCGGCCUGAUUAUUGGUGUAGUCAAAAUCCAACUUAAGCAAAAAAUAUCAACGAUCGUGAUUAGGAGAUUGAAUGACAACUCCAACGCCGGUCGAGGAUGAAGUACUGGACCCGUCAAAAUACAUCGUCCAAUAGUUGUCGCGUGUUUCAACCAUGCCGAUUUCGACAUCAGUGUCCCCAAAACCGUAGGGGGAGGGGUGGUGAGCAAGGAAAUCGGCCAAUGCUUGGCCUUUGACAGCUUUCUGGGGCACGUAUUGCAGGCUAAAUUCGGACAACGCCAUCGUCCACUUCCCAAUUCUCCCUUUUACGAUUGGCCGGGUAAACAUGUACCGGAUAACGUCGGUCUGGGUAAUGACUUGUGUGACCGACGGAAGCAUGUAAUGUUGGAGCUUGGAGGCGGCGAAGAACACGGCAAGACAGAGCUUCUCAACGGCGGAAUAAUUGAUCUCCGGUGGAUUAAGAUUUCGACUGAGGUAAAAAAUAGCCUGCUCUCGCCCGACAUCAUUGUCUUGGGCAAGGAGGCAGCCGAUGGACUCUUCAGCCGCCGAGAUAUAUAGUUUGAGGGGUUUACCGUGCCGAGGUGGAACAAGGAAAUGUGGUGUCGUGAGGGAGACUUUGAUUUGUGUAAACGCCGCUUUAUGCUCGUUCGUCCAUGUAAAUGUAUCCGAGUCCUUAAGUUUCAAAAGCGUUGAAAACGCUUUCAUUUUCCCUGCCGAGUUAGCGAUAAAUCGGCUGAGAAAAUUUAUCUUGCCGGGUAAGGACUGCAACUGUUUCUUCGUAGUCGGGGGUGGAGCACUGAUGAUUGCACGUGCUUUAUUUUCGUCCACUUCAAUCCCACGGUGAUGUACCAGGAAACCGAGAAAAUUACCGGCUGACACACCGAAUGCACAUUUGGCAAGAUUCAUUUUGAGAUUGUGUUGGAGCAUAUGAAGGAAAGCUUGUCGGAGAUCAUCCACAUGAGUCCGCCGUUGUUUGGAUUUAAUUACAACAUCGUUAAUAUAGACUUCGACGAUGGUUCCAAUUAAGUCAUGAAAUAUGGUGUUCAUUGCCCGUUGGUAUGUGGCGCCGGCAUUUUUGAGGCCGAAUUGCAUAACAACCCAUUCGUAAGUGCCGAGUGUCCCCAGGCAGCGGAAAGCAGUUUUGUGCACAUCGGCUUCAGCAAUGAAAAUUUGGUUGUACCCGGCAUGUCCAUCCAUAAAGGAUAAGAUCGCAUGAUUCACCGCGGCAUCGAUUAAUAGAUCUGAAAUCGGCAUUGUAUACUCAUCUUUGGGAGUUGCCAGAUUCAGAUUUCUGAAAUCGAUGCAGAUGCGCAGUGCACCAUUCUUCUUUAAGACAGGAACGAUAUUCGCCAACCAUUCCACAUAUAAAGAGCUGUCCGAAUGAACCCGGCUUUCAAAAGUCGAACCAGUUCAUCCUUGAUACCGAGUUGCACUUCGGUCGAGAAUCGAUGAGGUGGUUGCCGAAAAGGUUUACAUCCGGGCUUAAUACGUAAUUCAUGCUCGACAAGAGUGCGAUCUAAGCCGGGCAUUUCAUGGUAGCUCCAAGCAAAACAAUCUUUGAACUCUGUAAGCAAGGCACAAAGUUCGUCCUUCAUUUGUUGGGGAAGUAAUGCACUAAUAAACAAAGGUCGUGGGUCGUCAGCCGUCCCAACGUUAAUCUCUUCCAGGGGGUCCUUAACUUGGGGCUGAUGAUCUUCGAGCUCGGCCGGGGCGGUUCGAACUUUGUCAAGGGAUAAGACAGGACCAUUAUUUCCUUCGGCAAGGAACUCGACGAGGUUAACGCCCGAAUUUGGUUGUUGAGAUAUAGUAUACCAAUGGGCCAGCAGUCGUUCCAUAGUAGAUGAAACCGUGGCCCUACGUUCCUCCCGAUCGGUGUCAAACAUCGGCUUCGGGGAGAAAGUUGGCUAAUCCGAGUCUCGCCGAAUCCUGGUGGACAGUCUCGGCGCCAACCUCGAUAGCUUUCUGAACAGAAAUCUGAGUCGGUCGUCCUUCAUCAUUGAAGCCUUGCAAAGUAAUGUAGCCGACGUAGUCAUCAUAGUACCGUGCUUGGAUCAUGUUGGUUUCGAAGGGUUGGCUAUCGGCCGGGUGAACAGUGACCGAUUUGCCGUCCCAAAAAAUGAGCACUUGAUACAAUGAGGAAGGAAUACAGCUGGUUUGGUGAAUCCAAUCUCGACCGAGUAGUGCAUUAUACUCGGUUUUAGAAUCGACCACGAAAAAGGCGGUCAUGUGAAUGCGACCAGCAAUAUUCACUGUUAGCGGAAGGACACCUUUGGUUUGGGAUUUGUCACCGACGAAACUACUCAUUGUGAUCCCUGACGAAAUAAGUUCGUCAUUAGAGCAACGUAAGGCUUUCAUGAUGUUCAUAGGCAUGAUAUUGACAGUAGCUCCACAGUCGACAAAAACUUUAGAAAUUGGAUAUCCCUCGAUAUGGGCCGUCACAUACAAUGGCUUUAAAUGAUGGAGGUUGGCCGAUGGUGAACGAGGAAAUAAUUCGGCCAAAGCUGCUUUGAUAUUGUCAUCUUUUGUUGUAGAGUCAACUUCAGCAACGGAGACGAAAUCAACAUGGCCGGCUUCCUCGGCGACUACAUCACCAUCGAGGAAAUUUAGCUGAGCUGUGCUGGAUUGAAAAGCAGCAAGUAACACAUGGACCAUAUUGAUUUCCAUGUUAUCCAAGACGGAUGGGCCCAUCAGGUUAGGAUCCUCCUCGUUAACCUUAUCUCUCGUCUGGUUGGCGACUACAGCUUCCGUUGUUGUCAGAGUUGGACAAAGAGACUCUUCUGCUCCUUCUUCAAGGGUUUGAUCCUGUGUUGUUGCUUCGGCAGCUUGUUGGUUCUGCGUUAUCACCUCAAGUGAGGUUGAGGUCGACAGUGUGUUUGGGGUCAAGAUCCGAGCCUGCUCCUGGUAGUGUAUCCGGGCAUCCCUGGUGUCGAGAUAAGCAUCCAAUCGCGCAACACGUGCUAUUUCAUCGGUCGUAAGGCCGAAGAGAGAAACAACCGAAAAUACUUCGAAGUGAUAUCGUAAAUACUGAAGAUCCUCUAUUGAGAAAGGAAGGUCGGCUGCAUCGAUAUCAGUGUAUAGGUCGACUUCAAAUCCAAGGACACGAGCUUCUCGUAUGUGCUGGAAUCUUGCUUUCAAUCCUGGGUCUGAGGUCUUCUGAAUGAUUAGCUCGGCAUCAGGACAAAUCAGGACUAGAUCAAUUGUAUCCUGACAUGCCUUCGGCAAGCCAUACAGAUCAUUGGCCGAAUGUUUCUUAUGGAAUUCUCGCAUGUACUCCAAAGCCUCCCCGAGGAAUGGUGGGUGCAAAUUCCGUCGAAUUUUAAUCAAAGGUUCUUGUAUGGCCGGCGGGGGUAAUUUACUUUCGGCCUCCUGCCUGAAAUGCUCGAGGCGUGCCUUCAUCUCCCCCGGGCGAAGAAGAAGUUUGAUCCGUUUAUCAGCCUCUUCGAACGUGGUUUCGAUAUCUCGGUUGACCAGCCGUUUCCCUUGAACCAACUCUGUCAUAAUAGCUGGAGGUGGUCGUUCAUCAUCAGUAACAAUUGUGUCCUUCAACCGCCAUUGAGGAGCCGAAGUUUCUUGGGCCGCUUGUCGGCGGGCCAUGCAAUCUAUCCUUUGGUGCCGGCGUUUCUGGGAUUUGGACAGUGCGGUGUAAACGCCUUUCGAAGAAUGAUAUGUAUACCAACGUUGAUCGCUAGGUUUAGGAGGUUUGAAAGUUUUUUGGCUCCGCGAUGACUCCGAACUGCUAGAAUUACGUUUAUAGUAGUCAUCGUCGUAAAAUGAAGCAUUAAAAUCAAGACGUCGCCUGACUGAGGGUGCCUCUUCCAUCCUCACUUUGGGACCGAGCCUAUCAAAAACCCCUUGAUGUUGGCCUACGUCGGCAACCUUCUGCUGGGUUGCGGCCGUAGGUCGUUCCGUUAUAAGCGAAGAGGGCUUCUCCUCUGACUCACUGCCGACCUUUGCUCUACAUUUACUGCACAAAACCGCUGUCCCACUGUCUUCAUCGGUGGUAUAAUCUAUCAUAGGUUUGACAAUAGCGGGUCCCGUUAAAGCUGUAGGCGGUUUGUGUGAAUGAAAAUCGGCCAUGAAACGUGGCCGAGAACUCUGAUUUCGAAAGUGUUGCGUCGCAACAUCUUCGGCCUUCCCUUUCCCUUUGUCUUUAGGUAGGCACACAUCGACCAUAUUUACUGUUGCCGUGGGGAACGGGUCAGUAUCAACACUCAUCUUCUUCUCUGGAAUUUCAGUUUGCCAUUAUCAAUCCAGCUUUGGACGUUGUCUCGAAACACGACACAAUUGUUUGUCGUGUGUUUGCUUGAAUUGUGGUAUUUGCAAUAUAUCUUCCCUUUAAGCUCUUCGGCCUUGGGAAUGUUGUGCCCAGGCCGAAGUUUGAUGAUCCUUGCUGAUAAGAGUUGAUAAAAAAUUGCAUCGGCUUUUGUAAUAUCAAAUGUAUAAACUUUCGACGGUUUCAGUGCUCCUUCAGUAGCCGAGCGGGUUUUGACUUCCUUAGAAUCAACUUGAGUCAGUGCCUUGCAGACGUAUGGCUUAUCUAUCACUAUCUCAGCUGCAUCCACACUAACACAUUCAUCCUCGGUUGAUGCAUAACUGACAGUAGGAUUCUUGUAAAUCGUCCCCCGAGAUGGAGUUUUCGAAAUCUUUUCCUCGUGGAGCAAAUCAUCAUACUGCUCGACAUGCUGUGCUAAUUCGUACAUAUCCCGAAAGUUUACCCCCAAGAAUUUCAUUUUGUAUUCGACGUCAAGACCGUUCAGAGCAAGUCUGACGAAUUCAACUUCGGGGAGAGGCACUCGGCACCAAUUCCUAGCUGAUUUGAAUCUAGUAAGAUAAUCCAUUGGUGACUCGUCGGACGCCUGAGCCAUCCUUGCUAGUGAGGAUACUGACAUUUCCAUUCCCGGCCGAUAAAACUGCUCAUGAAAUUUCUCGACCAACUUCUCCCAACUCUGGACGGAGUUCGGUGGGAGGUUAAUAUACCAAGCGAAUGCUGAGCCGAUCAACGAAAAAUUGAAAAGUCGCAGCUUGUGAAAGUCACUAUUAACGUAUCCGCACUGUGCGGUGAAGCGAGCUACAUGUUCUAACGAGGAUAAGGACGAUUCUCCGGUAAAAAGGCUAAAAUCUGGGAUCUUGAAACCUCUAGGGUAUUCGACCUGUUCCACGUAAGCUGGAUACGGGUGUAUAAACUUAGGGAACUUCAGCCCUUUCUUCAUGGCUGAAUCGAUCAUCCGUUGAACUUCGGUCAUAUCGACGGGCAUUACUUCCGCUCUCUGGUCGGAUCCGUCUGACCUACUAUUCGACCCUCCUCCUUUUUCCAAUUGAAGUGGCCUGAGCCGAGCAGGAAUUGGCUCGGCCGGUGCACUUGAUAAUAGAUUAUUCCUUGGCGGCAAAUGCUGGGCAAGAUCGAAAAUUCUACCAUCGCUGACCUUACUAACCAGUAUUUCGAGUAAUCUGGUUUGUGCUUCACUGGAAAUGCGUAUCACGUCAUGAAGCUUAUCGAUUCCUCGACUCAAUGUCUGUUCAACUGUCCGAGAUUGCUCGUCAAGCCGUUUUCGAAUAAACGACCUUGUGGGUGGAUCGGAUCCUUCGCCACCAUUUUCAUCACAAUCUUCUAUUACUCCUUCAUUGAGAACGCAAGUGUUCCUGUCGGGAAUUUCAAGACUGCGAACCUGACCGCCGAGAUUAACUUCCCUCUCUCGGCGAGUUGCGCUCGUAGACUCAGGUGUCACGGCGCUGAUGGGAUUUUGCGCUUGUGGCACAUGGUGUCCUGCGUUCUGAUUUGGUAGAUCGGAUGUCGACUUUCCCAUAGUUGUUUUCUUUUUUACCAAUCGUGUUUCAAUUGGCAUGAACUUCGUAGUCUAGCACUGGGUCCCACUGGGCGUGCCAAAAUGUUGACCCUAGAAACUACCAAGCCUACGUGGCGCGCAGGUCGAGUAAUCUAUAAGCUAACUACGUCCUUCGGUGAAUGCGGGGCGUGCCAACUCGUCGGCCGAGCUCGGCCGAGGAGUAAAUUUUGUUGAUGUUGCGUUGGGCGCGCGGCUGACUUCUGCGUCUUGCGAUUGCGGCCGAGAAAGGAACACGUCUCGGCCUCUUGGGCUCUCGAACCUGAAGACAAGAUUACUAUUCUUACGAAGUUCACGAGUCGUCGUCGUCGGAUUCAGUCACAGUGAUGUUAUUCGUCAGAGUAAACUCACGCCGAAUCGACACCAGAGUGUAAGGGCACAAAUACUCAAAGCAAAUAUAAGUUUUAAUGGUGAACGUGGUUCGGCCGUCCGAAUGCCGAACUCUAAAUCCCACUUGAGAAUAUCCAAUCAUAAAAUAACUCGGCAAGCAAAGCGCCGAGCUCGAUAUAUCGUAACACCUCAAUUCGCCGAGAAGGCUAAUGAGAUGACCUCAAUCAAUAAGGAUCCGGAAAUCCUCCUUGACAGAGACUUGGAUAGGUAAUCAACCGUUCUCGCCGCAGUGCUGUUGAUGCCAACGGAAGAUACUGCGAGAUCGACUGAUUCUACGGUGACAGAGCUAUCUAUGCCGACUUAAGAUAUCACCGGUUGCUUUCACAGUGCUGUUGAUGCCAACGGAAGAUGUGUCAGCGAAAAAGAAAGAAAAAUCUCAAGUUGUUGAGUUUGCGCAGGGCAGUUUUGUAUUGAUUUGUAGGGGGCUUUGAAUGAUGCGCAUCCUCUUCUAUUUAUAGCAACGGCUCCCCCCAAGGUCGAGUUAAAAACCUACUCGGACUAGGUCUUCUUCUCCUGAUCAGCACCAACUCGACCAGUCCUACUUUCACUAGGAUUGUGAACCUAGUCCUUAACCGAGCCGGAUUUGCUUCCGGGUCCUGCCGAGACUCCUCAUUGCAUUAGGACUCGACUUCUUGCAUUAUGACCUAGCUGACCUAGGUUUGGAGGCCCACGUACUAAACGAUCCAUGGUAUUCUUGUCGCAAGGCCUUCUGGGCCGAGAAUGAUUCUAUACUCGGCCCAAACUAUUAUUUUGGGCCCAAACAGUAAACUUUAUUUUUAAAAGUCUUUUCAGUAUGGAAAGGAGUGUAAAAGUGAUUGGUAAAACUUUGGUGAAAAAAUGAUGUAAUUGUAUACAAUGAUAAAAAUGAACAUGAUAGUGUGAGUGAUAACCACAAGAACAGUAGCUAGGACAAUAGUUGUGAUGGUGAUGUGGUGCUAAUAAAGGGGUGUGUUGGUUGGUGAGCUGUAGAGGUAACACUGGUGAUAGUGGUGACAACAAUAGCAAUGAUAGUAACAGGAUGUAGACGUAUGCAUUUUCCCUUUAGAAACAAAUUAAUUUUUCCAGCACACUCCACUUCAAAUUUCUCGUUACGUCCUCUUCUUUUCCAUCAUUAAAAAAUGACUUUUUUUUUAAUUAAAAAAAAAAACAUCAACUCGUACAACGGAGUUUCUCUUAAAAACAGAAAAAUAUGCCAAAAAUAAUUGUCUUUUGUAGUCUUUUGUCAACAAUGGCGGCUACCUUCGGAAGAAGAGAUUUUUCAGUAUUUCCGUCACACGAAAUGUUACAUCAUGUAUCUUUACAUAAAUGGUGGGUUACGUAUAUUAAAAGGUUAAUAACUUAAAAAUUAAAAGUUUCCACCACUUGCAUAAAAACACAUGUUGUAUCAUCCGUGUUCUCGUCACAACUAAAAAUUUUCCCUUCGGAAGAUCCCAGCAAACUUCCUCAUUUUUUUCCCUUUAGUCACUGAGUUAUCGUAAACAACUAAAACUUGGCUUUUAAGAAAAGAACAAAUACUCCACUCUAUAUAAAACCAUGUCUUUCAUUGAGCAGAAACAAAAUUAAAACCCUUAACCUUCAAGAGAUUCCGUAAACCCUUCGGUCAGAAACGAAGAUGAUUGGGGGAAUGUGGCCUCAAAUGGGCUCGGUGAUAGCGAGUAUGGUGUUCGUUAUCACCAUAUUUCAACGAUACCUUCCCCUCCAACUUCGGGACCAUGUCGAAGGAUACACUCAAAAAUUAGUGGGCUUUGUCUACCCUUACAUCCAAAUCACCUUUGAUGAAUUCACCGAUGAUUUCCGCAACCAAAGCGAAAUCUAUUCCGCUAUCCAGAGCUACCUCAGCACAAAAUCUUCCACUUUGGAAUUUUUGAGUGAUUUCAAUUGGAGCAGGUUCGUGAAUCUGUCAACAAAGUUUUAUCAAAAUUUCAUAAUUUUAUCCCCAAGCAUCUGAUCGUGGCAAAUUAAUUUAUGGUCAACGUGCAGUGUUGGCAGAUGGGGCUGCAGAGCUUAUUUGCGAAUUUUGGGCUGGAAGAUGAUGGAUUUUGAACUUGGACUCUUCUUGGAACUUGAAGAGGAGGUCAUAAUAUUUAAUUCAAGACGUUUUGGGCCUGAUUUGGAGCCAUGAAAGUCUAGAAACGUGGCUAUUUCUUUGCUGGGCAGAUUUCCUAGUCAAAAUAAGAAUGUAAUUCCUAGUUAUCUUUUUAAUAUUUUAUUUCCUUAUUUUUAGAAAACCUUUUCUAUGAGGGUUUUAAUUUGGAGUAGUAUAAAUAAGGCUUUUUAGCCAUUAGGAAAGGGGAGGAGAACACGGGCACUACUUUAGAGAGCUUUUGAAGUUUAUUUUCAAGGUGUUUCCUUUCCAUGUUCUUAAUAAUAUUUUGUUUUAUGAUUAUUCGUAACUAGUUUCUUUUGCUAGGGCGAAGCCUUGAGCCUUAGUAAGAAUAUGUAGUUUCUUUUCAAUUUACUUAUGAUAUUAUGCAUGCAUGUUUUGAAUUAUUGAUCACCGUUUUAAGCCACUACUACAAAAGUGGCUUAUUUUGUCGAUGACUGGUGUUGGUUUUAUAUAAUAUACUGGCGGAUAAGACAUUUCUGACACCCUCUUUACAUGGUGUCGGAAUUACUGUCGAGUAUAACCGACAUAGCUUUUAAUCUUUAUGAAUGGUGGUGUCGCUUAAAAAGAAAAUCGUGUCAACAUGAAGAAUCGUGUCACUUCUACCCGACACUAAUAAUAAUUUUUAAAUACUGUAAAACCCAGUGUCGGUUGUAGCCGACACUAAUAAUUAUUUUUUAAUAUUUUAAAACCCAAUGUUGACCCGUUCCGUUCCGUUCCCAUUACUUCACUUGACUCUCUCUCUCUCUCUUACGCACACAUCAGUUCCCUCACAUGGGUUUCUUUCUCUCUUUCUGACACACAUGCCUCAUUUCUCUCACUUUUUUUUUAACUGGUUCUUUUUCACCCCCUCUCUUUUCCGUCUCCAUCACAUCUCUCUGCACCCACCCACUCAACCUUCUUUCAUCCCUCUCUCUCUUUCCUAUUCUCUCUCUCUUUCCUCGAUUUCUCCAUUUCCCAUCCCUCCAUCUUCUUCUCUUAUGAAAAACCACAAAUCAAAACACUACAAACAUCUCCCUUUAUUCUCCACCACACAUCUCCCUUUAGCCUACAACCUGCCAAGUUUUAUCCCUUCCUCUACCUCUCCACUGCACAUCUCCCUUUAUCCCACCAAUGCACUUCUCCUUUUCCACGCACAGAGCUUCUGGAUCUGCUAAGGACACCAAGCCAAGCCAAGUUCUACAUAAUGGGUUCCACCACUGUUCAUCACGUACCCCAACUAGUUCUCGAGCUCUUGAGUCUUGACUUGGUAAGCCUCCAUACUACUCCAUUUCAUUUCAGUUUCCGUUUUCUAGCUUGGUUUCGAGCUUGCAUGUAAACUUAAAACCCACACCGUGGUUGAAAAAAUGAAUGUGGGUUUUGUUCAUUUCGAUAUGUUCAAUGCGAAGAAGAUGAGAUAAUUAGUGUGAUUUGGAGAUCUUUGUGCUUAGAUUGGAAAAUGUAGGAAAGCAGAAACGACUUUUUGAAUUUUGAGGAAAUAAUAAUUCGUUUUCCCUCCUAAACGAAUCGUUUUCAUUUCCCCAAAAACUCAGGGAGAAUGGAAGCUACGAAAGGCACCAAGGGCGUCGGCGGAAGAAGUCGGUGUCCAAGUUAGUUAAAGCCGACCUCCAAUUCCUUUUCGGUUGUAUCCCUCGUUUCCUCAAAAAGGGACGCUACGCCCAAUGUACUGGUACUAGCGCUCCCAUUUACCUCGCCGCCGAGGUAAUUUCCCGAUCCAUAUUUCUCAGAUAUAAACAUUUCCUGCUUAUAUAUAUUUUUAUACUUUGCUAAUUAUUAUUAAUAAUUGAGAUAGAUUUUUUUUUAAAUAUUAUUAAAAAUUUGUGGUGUCAUUUAUGGGCGACAUUAUAUUGGUUAUUUUAUUUUUCUAGGUGUCAAUUAUGACUGACACUAGUCUGCUCCAUCAACAGCUUUUGUCAGUCUCAGUGUCACAUUUAACCGACAUUACUACCCUUUUUUAUUUUAUAUUGCUUUCUUCUUCAUGUCGGAUUCUUCAUGACGGAUUAAGAGGACUAACCGACAUCAAAAGCCUUUCGUGAUGCUAGCAUUGAUGUCGGUUCCCCUAUCCGACAUUGCAUGAUUUGAUGUCGAUUUUUUACGAAAAAUCCAACAUUAAUUAGGAUUUAGUGUUGGUUUUUGCACCGCUAGUGAUAACCUCUUUUGUAGUAGUGAACUAUCUAAGUAUUUUAGUGAUUCGCUACCAUUAGGAUAUUUAGAAAAAUAAUUUGAUGCAAUUUUGGUCGGAAGGUUCCCUGAAAUUGGCGCUGGCUUCUUGUGGUUAAUAAUUGUAAUUUCAUUUAGGAUUAACACCACGUCUUAAGGGUUGCAUGAUUUUUCAAAGGGUUUUCAUAAAACUUAAUGAGUCUUUCAAGUUCAUAUUUGAUUUGAACAUUCGAAUGGAUUUCAUGUUAGAUAUAUGUUCCAUGUUGGAGGUUCCAAAUAGAAUAUAUCUUAGGAAAACCUAACAUUAUAAAUAUGCAUGGAUAAUUCAUAAGUAAUUGGAAGAACUACGUAGGAUUGCUAAUGUGACGGAUGAACCCUAGGGCUUUAAAUUGGUUUCUAGUUGACUUAUUUAAUUUUUUUUAAUUUAAAUUCGUUUUUAUUAUAUUAAAUUCCAAAAUCAAUAUUUUCAAAACUUUGUUUUAAAUAAUUAAUUAAGAGUUUGUUUUAAACAUAAAUUAUUCAUUCAAUCCCUGUGGAAAACGAUUUUGCUUGAGCUGCUACAAUAUCUGUUGGCUGAUAGAACUUUUAAUCUACAUUAUUGUUGUAGUACUUUACGGAAAAUUUUGACUACUAUAAUCCUGCUUACAACACUAACGUGUUGAAUGAAAGAUUAUGACCUCCUCUUCAAGUUCCAAGAAGAGUCCAAGUCCAAAAUCCAUCAUCUUUCAGCCCAAAAGUCACAAAUAAGCUCUGCAGCCCCAUCUACUAGCACUGGGCAUAAAUUAAUUCGUCACGAUUAGAUGCUUACGGAUAAAAUUAUGAAAUUUUGACACAACCUUCUUGACAGAUUCAUGAACCGGCUCCAAUUGAAAUCACUCAAAAAUUCCACCGUUUGAUUAUUUUAUGCUCAGAACAAGUUCGCAUGUCCUACAUUAAAAACACAUAGCAAAACAUCAAAAUCUCACCAAAAUAAUAACUAAAAUAUACCAAGAAUAGGAAAUAAUAUAUAGUAUAAAAUCGACUCAUGGUGAAGGACAACACUGAGCUGAGGAAGCUACUGAUUGACACGUCGAGUAAGUCUAUAAUUGUGAUUGAGGACAUUGAUUGCUCGCUUGAUCUUACCGGACAGCGAAAGAAGAAGAAGGACAAGGAUGAAGGGGGCAUGGAAGAAAAGGAUCCAGUUCGAAAUAAGAUGGAAGAUGAAGAAA